rnacentral:rRNA from 1 species
AGCGAACGCUGGCGGCAGGCUUAACACAUGCAAGUCGAGCGGGCGUAGCAAUACGUCAGCGGCAGACGGGUGAGUAACGCGUGGGAACAUACCUUUUGGUUCGGAACAACACAGGGAAACUUGUGCUAAUACCGGAUAAGCCCUUACGGGGAAAGAUUUAUCGCCGAAAGAUUGGCCCGCGUCUGAUUAGCUAGUUGGUGAGGUAACGGCUCACCAAGGCGACGAUCAGUAGCUGGCUGAGAGGAUGAUCAGCCACAUUGGGACUGAGACACGGCCCAAACUCCUACGGGAGGCAGCAGUGGGGAAUAUUGGACAAUGGGCGCAAGCCUGAUCCAGCCAUGCCGCGUGAGUGAUGAAGGCCCUAGGGUUGUAAAGCUCUUUUGUGCGGGAAGAUAAUGACGGUACCGCAAGAAUAAGCCCCGGCUAACUUCGUGCCAGCCGCCGCUGU